rnacentral:rRNA from 1 species
AUUGAACGCUGGCGGCAGGCUUAACACAUGCAAGUCGAGCGAGCGGCGGACGGGUGAGCAAUGUCUGGGCAACUGCCUGAUGGAGGGGGAUCACUACCGGAAACGGUAGCUAAUACCGCAUACCAUCAGAUGUGCCCAGAUGGGUUUAGCUAGUAGUGGGGGUAAUGGCUCACCUAGGCGACGAUCCCUAGCUGGUCUGAGAGGAUGACCAGCCACACUGGAACGGAGACACGGUCCAGACUCCUACGGGAGGCAGCAGUGGGGAAUAUUGCACAAUGGGCGAAAGCCUGAUGCAGCCAUGCCGCGUGUGUGAAGAAGGCCUUCGGGUUGUAAAGCACUUUCAGUUGGGAGGCGUUACUCACAGAAGAAGCACCGGCUAACUCCGUGCCAGCAGCCGCGGUAAUAC